UUCGCAAUGCCCGAAAGGGUGACGAAGCGACGCCGCGUGCGGGAAGAAGGCCUUCGGGUUGUAAACCGCUGUCGGGAGUUAAGAAAUGCAAGGAUAUUAAUAGUGUCUUUGCUUGACUAAGGCUCCGGAGGAAGCCACGGCUAACUCUGUGCCAGCAGCCGCGGUAAUACAGAGGCGGCAAGCGUUGUUCGGAAUUAUUGGGCGUAAAGAGCACGUAGGCGGCUAUGUAAGUCGGUUGUGAAAGCCUUCCGCUCAACGGGAGAACAGCAUCCGAUACUGCAUGGCUUGAGUGCGGGAGGGGAGAGUGGAACUUCUGGUGGAGCGGUGAAAUGCGUAGAUAUCAGGAGGAACGCCGGCGGCGAAAGCGGCUCUCUGGCCCGUAACUGACGCUGAGGUGCGAAAGCUAGGGGAGCAAACGGGAUUAGAUACCCCGGUAGUCCUAGCCGUAAACGAUGGGCACUAAGUAGAGGGGUUUU
rnacentral:rRNA from 1 species